rnacentral:rRNA from 1 species
CGCCUUGCCAGCCCGCUACAGAAACUUAAAGGAAUUGACGGGGCCCGCACAAGCGGUGGAGUAUGUGGUUUAAUUCGAUGCAACGCGAAGAACCUUACCUGGUCUUGACAUCCCGGAGACCCUUAGGAAACUAGGGGGUGCUUCCAUCUGGAAGAAUCUGGAGACAGGUGCUGCAUGGCUGUCGUCAGCUCGUGUCGUGAGAUGUUGGGUUAAGUCCCGCAACGAGCGCAACCCUUGCCUUUAGUUGCCAGCAGUUCGGCUGGGCACUCUAAAGGGACUGCCGGUGUUAAACCGGAGGAAGGUGGGGAUGACGUCAAGUCCUCAUGGCCUUUAUGACCAGGGCUACACACGUACUACAAUGGCCGAUACAAAGGGCAGCGACACUGCGAGGUGAAGCCAAUCCCGUAAAAUCGGUCUCAGUCCGGAUUGGAGUCUGCAACUCGACUCCAUGAAGUUGGAAUCGCUAGUAAUCGUGGAUCAGCAUGCCACGGUGAAUACGUUCCCGGGCCUU